rnacentral:lncRNA from 1 species
GACCGGCGGUGAUGGGGAGGUGGGGGCCGGCGGUGAUAUAGGAUUGUGUAGCAGUUUCAUUUGUAAUUCAGAUAACACUGUUUGAGCUGUCUAUUCAACAGUAGAGUGUACUAAUACAACUUGUCUAUCUCUUUUUUUAGAGGGUGAGAAGGGCUCUCCUUUGGUUAAGUUGCAGUCUGUUUGGUGAAACUCCAAGCAAAUGGACUUGUUGCUGGUGAAGAGUGCAAUUAACCUCCUCAGAUCGAUGAUGUUUAGAAAGGC